CGGCGGACGGGUGAGUAACACGUGGAUAACCUACCUAUAAGACUGGGAUAACUUCGGGAAACCGGAGCUAAUACCGGAUAAUAUAUUGAACCGCAUGGUUCAAUGUGAAAGACGGUUUUGCUGUCACUUAUAGAUGGAUCCGCGCCGCAUUAGCUAGUUGGUAAGGUAACGGCUUACCAAGGCAACGAUGCGUAGCCGACCUGAGAGGGUGAUCGGCCACACUGGAACUGAGACACGGUCCAGACUCCUACGGGAGGCAGCAGCC
rnacentral:rRNA from 1 species